rnacentral:misc_RNA from 1 species
GAUGAAGAACGUAGCGAAAUGCGAUAAGUAAUGUGAAUUGCAGAAUUCAGUGAAUCAUCAAAUCUUUGAACGCACAUUGCGCCCGCUAGUAUUCUGGCGGGCAUGCCUGUUCGAGCGUCAUUUCAACCAUCAAGCCCUGUUUAGGCUUGUGUUGGGGCCCUGCGGCUGCCGCAGCCCCCUAAAUGCAGUGGCGGGCUCGUUGUCACUCCGAGCGCAGUAGCGUAUCUCGCUCUGGGCGUGGCGGCGGGUGCUAGCCGUGAAACACCCACUAAGGUUGACCUCGGAUCAGGUAGGAAUACCCGCUGAACUUAAGCAUAUCAAUAAGCGGAGGA